rnacentral:rRNA from 1 species
UAGUCAUAUGCUUGUCUCAAAGAUUAAGCCAUGCAUGUCUAAGCACAAGCCGAUUAAUGGUGAAGCCGCGAAUGGCUCAUUACAACAGCCAUAGUUUCUUAGAUCUUACUUUUCUAAUUGGAUAACUGUGGUAAUUCUAGAGCUAAUACACGCAAACAAGCUCAGACCUUACGGAAUGAGCGCAUUUAUUAGAACAAAAACCAAUCGGGCUUCGGUCCGUCAUUUGGUGAAUCUGAAUAACUUUGCUGAUCGCACGGUCUUCGUACCGGCGACAUAUCUUUCAAAUGUCUGCCUUAUCAACUUUCGAUGGUAGUUUAUGCGCCUACCAUGGUUGUAACGGGUAACGGAGAAUAAGGGUUCGACUCCGGAGAGGGAGCCUGAGAAACGGCUACCACAUCCAAGGAAGGCAGCAGGCACGCAAAUUACCCACUCCCGGCACGGGGAGGUAGUGACGAAAAAUAACGAGACGGCUCGCUAUGCGGUCCGUCAUCGGAAUGGGUACAAUUUAAAUCCUUUAACGAGGAUCUAUU